rnacentral:misc_RNA from 1 species
GUGUGCGAGAGCGCACAUCGACAAAAAAGCAGAGCAGUCACCAUGGAAGCUCCAAAUUACGGCCGCACAGGACUGCUGACCUCCCGUCUCGGUGGUCUGCCCGUCACGCGCCCCCGCCUGCUGCUGCCAGGGAGCUCGGCGGCGCCCCGCUCGGUCAAGUGGUAUCCUUCUCUCCUCACCAUACCACAGCAACUACUUGAUGCGCUGCGCCGCGAAGACGACACCGAAGCUGCGGAUAGUGACGUGCCCGGGACAACGACGUCGUUUUCCUCGGACCCCACACUGAUCACAUACUUGCGCGUAGCCACCAUUGCCGAGUGCCUUGUGCAGUGGUGGCGCCGUUGGGCGGUAGCAGCGGCACCGAAAAGGACUACUGAAGCAGUUGCCCUCACAGGCCCAUCGCGCGAGCAGCUCUCUGCCCUCUACACAGGGAUACUGCAGUGGCAUCGAGACGAGCUCGUCAGCGGUAAAACGGUACCAUCUUCGGCGCUGGCGCACGGCUCGUCGUCUUCGAGUACCUUCUUCAUUCCCGCCUACAAGCUGCUGGUCAUGAAGCACGACAGAAAGGUGGCGGAGUACGCCAACAUCACCUGGCGCUCGGUGUGGCUGCUGGGAAAGGAUCCAGAUGUGAAUGAUGUGCCGCUCGAACACCCCUCUUGCUCUGGCCAGCACGCCUCAAUGGAGAUGCGGUUCGUCUUGGCGGACGAGGCUGCUUUGGACGCCUACGUAACGGAAGGGGUGAAGGCAUUGUCGCCUGACGCACCGAUGCUGUCGUCACCGGGAGCGGAUGUGCCUCCGUUUGCACAGAGCACGCAGGCUCUGCGAUCCUUGUGCACUGGCAUGUGGGCAAUGCUGGAGGAGGCCCUGACCUCUGCCGGUGGUGACGCGGCUGCGGUAUGGACAGCCGAGCUGCAGCUGAUCGAUCUGGGGUCCACUAACCACACAAAGCUGAAUGGCGAGGCGGUGCCGGCAAUGGAGGCGACGACGGUGAUUGACUCGGAUGUGUUGGAGUUUGGCUGCUCAACGCGCAAGUACGUGGUGAUGCGCAAUGCGUAGCUGCUGCGGCCAUCUCGCUGGAUGGGGCUCGACGCGUGGGCUGUGUGAGGCGUUGAGGCCGAAUAAUUUGUGACGCUUCAGCUCUCCAUUGACACUGACGGAAAGCACCGAUAGCAUCGACCGCAACAAUG